AUCUUGACCUCAGAUCAGGCAAGGCUACCCGCUGAAUUUAAGCAUAUUAAUAAGCGGAGGAAAAGAAACUAACAAGGAUUCCCUCAGUAACAGCGAGUGAAGCGGKAACAGCUCAAAUUUGAAAUCUCCGGCGCUUGCGUCGGCGAGUUGUAGUUGCGAGAAGCACUUUCUAGGCGGAUCGGUGGUKCYUAAGUUGCUUGGAACAGUACGUCAUAGAGGGUG
rnacentral:rRNA from 1 species